rnacentral:rRNA from 1 species
CAGCCGCCACGGUAAUACGUAGGGUGCGAGCGUUAAUCGGAAUUACUGGGCGUAAAGCGUGCGCAGGCGGUUGUGUAAGACAGGUGUGAAAUCCCCGGGCUUAACCUGGGAACUGCAUUUGUGACUGGCGGGCUAGAGUAUGGCAGAGGGGGGUAGAAUUCCACGUGUAGCAGUGAAAUGCGUAGAGAUGUGGAGGAAUACCGAUGGCGAAGGCAGCCCCCCGGGCCAAUACUGACGCUCAUGCACGAAAGCGUGGGGAGCAAACAGGAUUAGAUACCCCCGUAGUCCCUGUCUCUUAUAA